AUGCGGAGAUUUGCGAGAAAGAAAGGGCUGAGGUUUCCCAUGCACGCACGAACUCUUCCAGCUGCCUGCCUCCCUAUUGAGUUGUCCUACUGGGACCAGAGGUCCAAAACAUCACUACUACCAGUCCAUCUUUCCUGCAUACUUGUUUAUAUGUUGAGGUGGGUUUGGGUAUCCCUCAAAAAACUAAAUAAAACUCAUUAUUUUCAACUCACAAGAUUGAAGAGUACCGGUCUAUCUUCUGUAAGCAUUCCCCAGAAAACCCCUUUUCACAUUGCUUUCUUUAUUCAUGAGUUGACACCCUGGGGAUAGCUCCUCUAAGUCCUCCUGUACCUUCCAAGCCAAGAAGCAAUUACUACACAUAAAACUAGUGUGAAAGGAUUACAUUAAAAAUAGCAAUAAUUUGUAAGCACUUCACACUUCAUUUCCUUUUUAC
rnacentral:lncRNA from 1 species